rnacentral:lncRNA from 1 species
AACAGGAUUUAUAACACCAUAAGCACUAUAUAAGUGUUGAUUAACAUCCAGCAGAACCAGUGUUCUAAAACAGACUUUGGGAAACAGUGGUAGAGAAUCCAGCCCUUUAGCAUUCUGGGGCUUCUGUCUCUCCAUGUGAAGAUUACCAACUAUUUGGAGAGAAGGGAUAUAAUUGUGACACAAUAUGUUAAGUCCUGAACAAGGAGCAAGUGUGGACUCUGGAGCCCAGAGAAGACAAGGAUAUUUCUAACAGAGAGGGAGGUUUCAGGAAAGAAUCCACAGUCAAAUUGACAGAAAUCCUAAAAUGCAGGUAGGAUUUCACCAAGCAGAAAAGUGGAGAAGGACAGCAGCAAAGACCUGGCCUGGCUGGGAAACAGAAUUAAGAAGCACAAACGUGAAAAACAGAUACUCAACCAGGGAAGGAUCAGAGGAUCAGUACGGCAAGAGAUCAGCGUGGGUACUCUGGAAAAGCUGGGAUGGAACAUCCCGAGACUACACUCCAUUCGAGAGCCCACUUGGCCCCAGCAGCCUUUCUCCUCUCCUCGCUGGACCACAGAAGCCUGGGAUUUCUAUCAGCUGAAAUAUAGGAGCAGACCCUGGAGCUGCAGCAGCCAUCUUUUGGCCAGGAGGACCAAAGUCAUGCACUAGGAGGGCAGAAGAGAAAGACAGAAGAAUAUUCUUGAGUAGGCCUGCACUGCCGGCUUCCAGACUUCCCGUUGCAUUUAAGAAAA